GACGAACGCUGGCGGCGUGCUUAACACAUGCAAGUCGAACGGAAAGGCCCUGCUUUUGUGGGGUGCUCGAGUGGCGAACGGGUGAGUAACACGUGAGUAACCUGCCCUUGACUUUGGGAUAACUUCAGGAAACUGGGGCUAAUACCGGAUAGGAGCUCCUGCUGCAUGGUGGGGGUUGGAAAGUUUCGGCGGUUGGUGAUGGACUCGCGGCUUAUCAGCUUGUUGGUGGGGUAGUGGCUUACCAAGGCUUGGACGGGUAGCCGGCCUGAGAGGGUGACCGGCCACAUUGGGACUGAGCUACGGCCCAGACUCCUACGGGAGGCAGCAGUGGGGAAUAUUGCACAAUGGGCGGAAGCCUGAUGCAGCACCGCCGCGUGCGGGAUGACGGCCUUCGGGUUGUAAACCGCUUUCGCCUGUGACGAAGCGUGAGCGACGGUAAUGGGUAAAGAAGCACCGGCUAACUACGUG
rnacentral:rRNA from 1 species